GGGGGAUUUUAAAGAAUUAACUAUUGAGGAUGUUAGGCAAUAUUUUAUAAGCAUGGGCGGAAAAGUAAAAAAUCAAGAUUUAGUAAAACAUUUCAAGAAAUACUUUUUAAAUGGUGAUCCUGAAAAGCAAGUGGAAGCAAGAAACCAGUUUAAGGAUUACAUUAACACUUUGGCCACAGUUAAACUAGUAGAGGGUAUUAAGUACUUGACAUUAAAAAAAAAGUACUGGGAGAUAAAACUUUGUGAUGAAGAACUUGACAAAUCAUCAUCAAGUUUGGAAAAUUUGUCGGGACUGAAGUCCCCUCAAAUGUAUAGUCAGAAACUUCAAGGAAGCCCUGCCUUUGAUGAUGGAGAAAGCAGAAAAGAUCAAAAGAAAGUAAAGAAAAUGUCACCAGAUCUCAGCAGAGCAUCUUCUAGUUCUCCUGAAAUGCUUGGAAGUUUACAAUCUCCCCACAGCCAGUCAAGUCCAAGUAUAUUAGAAGCUGUUAUGUUAAGUGCUGUCAGAGCUGUUAGUGAACCACCUUUGGGAACUCACAUGCCUUGUGAUGUUGUCAGUAGUCCAGUUGAAGUACCACCUUCGCCAAUCUCUAGGCCACAGAAUAUGGAUUUGCCAACAAACCAGCCACCAAGACCUCCUCCUCGACGGAAAAGUCACGGAAGAGGGAAGGAAAAUAGAGGAGCUAAAAUUGAGGAAAGGGUUAAACAGUUUAGUGAAGAUGGGCAGCUAGCACAGGAAAGUCCGAAAGAAAAAGACCUCAGUGAUCUGACCGUUAGUCCGGGGAGUGUCAAGGAACGUGCUCAAAAAUUGAAUAAAAUGGCAUCAGAGUCAGACCUAACUUUUAAGCCCACCCCUGUCUUGGGGCUCAGCACAACAGGAAAAAAACGUGAAAAUAGGAGUUCAGAGUACGACGAUUCUUCUGUGAACACGCUUGACCCAAGGCGUCGAGAGUGGAUUUUAAAAGCAGCUCAAGCCGACUAUCACUCAUUGGUUCGCCUUUUGAAAGAAGAACCCAAGUUGGCAUUUUUCAGGCACAACUCUUGAAGAUGCGUGAAGAUUAUGCGAUCGGCCCUGAGUAACUUUCGCAGAUGACUGAAAGAUAAGACGUCAGCGCUGAUGUGAUGACACUCAUUUUCAUACACAGCGUAUAAACAGAGAAGUGUUUUGUUAUUACAGCUGCUAGAUAAAUCAACCAAUGUUAUCAUUUUUGUAACGACAUGUGUACUCGUGGCAGGUCACUUUAAUCAUCUGAAAAGAAUUCUAUAGUAACAUUUCGAGUUUGUAAUAGAUCUUGGAUAUGAUGAUGUGAUGUCAUGUUAUGGAACUCAGAACUUUAAGAAUUAAAACUUUGUCAACGGAAAGCCGCCAAGAAACAACUGUACGCUUUCCCACUUCUUGGCCCGAAAAGAAAAACUUCAAAUCUGGACUUCAUCACUGGGGUAAGUGUGACCUUU